rnacentral:rRNA from 1 species
AUUGAACGCUGGCGGCAUGCUUUACACAUGCAAGUCGAACGGUAACAGGUCUUCGGAUGCUGACGAGUGGCGGACGGGUGAGUAACACAUCGGAACGUGCCUAGUAGUGGGGGAUAACUACUCGAAAGAGUAGCUAAUACCGCAUGAGAUCCAAGGAUGAAAGCGGGGGAUCGCAAGACCUCGCGCGAUUGGAGCGGCCGAUGUCAGAUUAGGUAGUUGGUGGGGUAAAGGCUCACCAAGCCGACGAUCUGUAGCUGGUCUGAGAGGACGACCAGCCACACUGGAACUGAGACACGGUCCAGACUCCUACGGGAGGCAGCAGUGGGGAAUUUUGGACAAUGGGCGAAAGCCUGAUCCAGCCAUUCCGCGUGCAGGAUGAAGGCCUUCGGGUUGUAAACUGCUUUUGUACGGAACGAAACGGUGAGCUCUAAUACAGUUUGCUAAUGACGGUACCGUAAGAAUAAGCACCGGCUAACUACGUGCCAGCCGCCGCAGUAA